UCUAUAUUGAUAGAGUGAGAAAGGGAAAGGAAGAAGAGCUUGAGGAAGUGAUGGGAGAUGGGAGGGUCGGUAAAGGAUAACAGCGUCUCUAUUAUUAAUUGUUGUGUUGUUUAUUCUUUUGCCGAUUCCACCCAUUCCUAUGAUUUUCUUUGGUUCCUUUCUUUCCACUCUCCUCUCCGCUCUCCACAAUCUGUUAUGGUCAUGAAGCUGCCCGUCUGACUGGGUUACAUUCAAGACAAGAAAAAACAACAAAUCGCUUCUUUCUUUUUUCGUCUUUUCUUUCCUUUUUCUUGUUUAAGGCUUAACAAAUUAUCUCAGCUCUAGUAGAUGUAGAACGUAUAAUAGUAAUAAUUAAUAAUUAUUACAGACAGAUGCUAGUUAAUUAGCUAGCUCCACAAGAUGUUUAAAAAUGUGAUCUAUCCAUAUCAAGCUGGACCAAAUCCAAAUAAUUUUACUGGAGCUUUUCUUUCUUGGUAAAAGCUGGACA